GACGAACCGUGCGAACGUUGUUCGGAAUUACUGGGCGUAAAGGGCUCGUAGGCGGCCAACUAAGUCGGACGUGAAAUCCCUCGGCUUAACCGGGGAACUGCGUCUGAUACUGGAUGGCUUGAGUUUGGGAGAGGGAUGCGGAAUUCCAGGUGUAGCGGUGAAAUGCGUAGAUAUCUGGAGGAACACCGGUGGCGAAGGCGGCAUCCUGGACCAACACUGACGCUGAGUGAGCGAAAGCCAGGGGAGCAAACGGG
rnacentral:rRNA from 1 species